rfam:Brachypodium distachyon strain Bd21 chromosome 1, whole genome shotgun sequence.
AUGGUAUUUCUCCGUCCAACAAAGUAUGUUUCAACUUUAACUAAAUUUGAAUGCAUCUAUAUACUAAGUCAUAUCUAGAUACAUCUAAAUUUUGACAAACUUGAGACAUCUUUUGUUGGACGGAUGGAAUACAUC